rnacentral:sRNA from 1 species
GGAGGUCUUAGUCUUGGAGGCUUCCAGUAUGCUCUAGGGCGCGGAACGGACUAACUUUGUGAGUGUGGUAGGGUGGAACCCAUUGGCAAUGACUUUGCAAAGCAGUAGAGGCCACCAUGAGUGCAUAACCCGCCAUAGCUCGACAAUCAUUCUAGUCCGGAGGAGUCGGAUACAACAAGUCUUAUGGCAAGGAGGUUUCCUUGGAGACAACUUUGGAAGAAGACGGCAAUGUUGUAGUUUAGGCUUCCUAGGGG